rnacentral:rRNA from 1 species
CUAGCCGUAAACGAUGGAUACUAGGUGUUGUCUGUAUCGACCCGGACAGUGCCGGAGCUAACGCGUUAAGUAUCCCGCCUGGGGAGUACGCACGCAAGUGUGAAACUCAAAGGAAUUGACGGGGGCCCGCACAAGCGGUGGAGUAUGUGGUUUAAUUCGAUGCAACGCGAAGAACCUUACCAGGGCUUGACAUGUCGCGAACCCCGCUGAAAGGUGGGGGUGCCUUAGGGAGCGCGAACACAGGUGG